UUUUUUGUAAUCCAUGAUCGAAAUGUUUGUUUUCUUUUCUUGUAAUCCAUGAUCGCUUUUUUUGUUUUUUGUUUUUUUUUUGUAACCCAUGAUAGAAUUUUUUGUAAUCCAUGAUCGAAUGUUUUGUAAUACAUGAUCGAAAUGUUUGUUUUUUUUUUAUAAUCUAUGAUCGAAAUGUUUGUUUUUUUUUUUGUAAUCCAUGAUUGAAUUUU
rnacentral:lncRNA from 1 species